rnacentral:rRNA from 1 species
CGUUUCCUAGGGGGUUCCCCCGCUGAAGUUUAAAAACUUAAAAUUGACUGGGGACGCCCGCACACGGGGUGGCGCAUGUGGUUAAUUUCGAUGAAACGUGAAACCCCUUACUUACUCUUGACAUCCAGAGAACUUUCCAGAGAUGUUUUGGUGCCUUGGGGAACUAUGAGACAGGUGUUGCAUGGCUGUCCUCAGCUCGUGUUGUGAAAUGUUGGGUUAACUCCCGCAACGAGCGCAACCCUUAUCCUUUGUUGCCAGCGGUUAGGCCGGGAACUCAAAGGAGACUGCCAGUGAUAAACUGGAGGAAGGUGGGGAUGACGUCAAGUCAUCAUGGCCCUUACGAGUAGGGCUACACACGUGCUACAAUGGCGCAUACAAAGAGAAGCGACCUCGCGAGAGCAAGCGGACCUCAUAAAGUGCGUCGUAGUCCGGAUUGGAGUCUGCAACUCGACUCCAUGAAGUCGGAAUCGCUAGUAAUCGUGGAUCAGAAUGCCACGGUGAAUACGUUCCCGGGCCUUGUACACACCGCCCGUCACACCAUGGGAGUGGGUUUGCCGAAA